rnacentral:rRNA from 1 species
UACGUAGGGUGCGAGCGUUGUCCGGAAUUAUUGGGCGUAAAGAGCUCGUAGGCGGUUUGUUGCGUCGGCCGUGAAAACCUGCAGCUUAACUGGGGAACUGCGUCUGAUACUGGAUGGCUUGGAUUCGGGAGAGGAAUGCGGAAUUCCAGGUGUAGCGGUGAAAUGCGUAGAUAUCUGGAGGAACACCGGUGGCGAAGGCGGCAUUCUGGACCGACAUUGACGCUGAGGAGCGAAAGCCAGGGGAGCAAACGGG